rnacentral:rRNA from 1 species
UGGCGUGCGUUAUACUUGCACGUCGAGCGAAUGGAUUAAGAGCUUGCUCUUGUGAAUUAGAGGCGGAGAGGGUGAGUAACACGUGGGUAACCUGCCCAUAAGAAUGGGAUAACUCCGGGAAACCGGGGCUAAUACCGGGUAAUAUUUUGAACCGCCUGGUUCGAAAUUGAAAGGCGGCUUCGGCUGUCACUUAUGGAUGGACCCGCGUCGCAUAGCUAGUUGGUGAGGUAACGGCUCACCAAGGCAACGAUGCGUAGCCGACCUGAGAGGGUGAUCGGCCACACUGGGACUGAGACACGGCCCAGACUCCUACGGGAGGCAGCAGUAGGGAAUCUUCCGCAAUGGACGAAAGUCUGACGGAGCAACGCCGCCUGAGUGAUGAAGGCUUUCGGGUCGUAAAACUCUGUUGUUAGGGAAGAACAAGUGCUAGUUGAAUAAGCUGGCA